CCCUUAGAUGUUCUGGGCCGCACGCGCGCUACACUGACGAAGUCAGCGAGCAUGUCCUACGCCGACAGGUGCGGGGAAUCUUGUCAAACUUCGUCGUGAUGGGGAUUGAUUUUUGAAAUUCUUGAUCAUAAACGAGGAAUUCCUAGUAAGCGCAAGUCAGCAGCUUGCGUUGAUUACGUCCCUGCCCUUUGUACACACCGCCCGUCGCUACUACCGAUUGAAUGGUUUAGUGGGAUCUUCGGAUUGGCGCCACUGCAGCUCAGCAAUGGGCUUGGUGGAUGCCGAAAAGUUGAUCAAACUUGAUCAUUUAGAGGAAGUAAAAGUCGUAACA
rnacentral:rRNA from 1 species